rnacentral:misc_RNA from 1 species
GAUGAAGAACGUAGCGAAAUGCGAUAAGUAAUGCGAAUUGCAGAAUUCAGUGAGUCAUCGAAUCUUUGAACGCACAUUGCGCCCUGUGGUAUUCCGCAGGGCAUGCCUGUUCGAGCGUCAUUUCAACCCUCAAGCCCCGCUUGGUGUUGGGCCCCGCCCGCCGUGGCCGGCCCUAAAGACAGUGGCGGCGCCGCCUGGCCCUCAGCGUAGUACAGCUCUCGCUCCAGGGUCCGGCGGCCGCCUGCCAGAACCCCCCCAACUCUGUGGUUGACCUCGGAUCAGGUAGGGAUACCCGCUGAACUUAGGCAUAUCAAUAAGCGGAGGA